CUUGUCCCUACCCAUAGCCGCCGGCCGAAUGGAACCGCUGAUUGUCGACUCACUGUUGGCCCUUGAGUGACGGACUCUCACCGAUUCAUCGCCUCACGCCUGGCUGUCAACUUGGGUUAGGUUUUACGGUAAGCAAUCUGCGUUAUUAUGUUGAAAUUUCUAGGUGCUAGCAAUUUCUUGGGGAAAGAUGACCUGAUUAUAAUGGACCUCGACGGUUUGCCUUUAUGUUAUAAUUGCUUGCUGCAUUACAAUUGCGUUCUGGUUGUUGAGUAGUUAACAUAAUGUUGUCAAAAACUAUGCUUCGCCACUAUUUCUCUUUGCUAGUUAGUUCAGAAAUUACAAAUAGGCAUAAUCCUGUGUUGCUAUGGAACUGUGGGCGAGAAAUCUUAGAUGUUUCCUCACUAUUUAUAUACUGAAUCUUGUGUAAGAUCUGCGUUCUUUUAUUUUUAUAAAAUCAAUGAUAAUUUAAAUUUUAUAAAAAUGAAUAAGUUGAGUCUCUUGUAAGUUUGAUCGUGACAAUACUGUCUCUACUGGGAAAAUUUUAUUGUGCUUCCAUGUUUAUUUAAAAUUUCUUCAUCUUUGUGCGAGAUGGGUACCAUGGACUUCUCACUUUACCUCUAUUGGGAAUAUCACCCUUGCUAUUAAUCUGAUCAGGGAAUCCUAUCCUUAAUACCAAUUUGGCGUAAAAUGACAUUUUGUUGUGAAAUUUUGGCCUCCGACGAAUUGGUGUAAUGAAGUGUUGCAUGCACCAAAUCAGGUGCGAUGAUGUUCAUUUGGUGUAAUAUAGAGUUUUUAUUUAUUUAUUUUGGGCUUCAUUUUAUACUACAAAAAAAUUUUAUUUUGUUGCUUUACGUGCUAGUUAAUUUUAUUAGUGAGUUUGACAAAUGGAAUUCUUUUUUAAUAAAAUCAAUUAAUGGUAUUGAAGCAUUUAUUUAUUUAAAGUGGAAAUAUAACUGAGUGUGAGUAAAUGCAAUUGAUGGGAUUGAAAUUAUUAUUAUUAUUAUUUUCUUGCGUGUGGUUGCACCAAACAUAGUUAAUGUGUUGAAUUAUGAAUUAAAGUUGAAUGAGAAGCACCGAAAUGUGCAUGUGCUUUUACUAAAAUUGGGAGAUUGAAAAUUGAAAAAGAUCUCCAACUAAUUGAGUAUGCUUUGCAUAAAUACUUUGGUGGAAAAUUGCAUUUACUAUUUAUUAAUUUAUUGCUUUUCUUUAAGAAUGGGAUUAAACAGUAAAUGAACCGUUUAAUGAUUUAGUUGAUCUCUCUCAAUAAAGGAUUAAAAUUACUUAAUUAAGGUUGAUUAAUUAAGAUUUGAUUAUUAUGUUGACGAGGAAACGUCUUUUCAGCUAGAUAAUGACAUUCAAAUAUUUCUUGAUUUGACUGAUAAAUAAACAUUAGUCUAAUAUCAUAUGCUUGAAAAUUAUGCAAAACCUGGACAAGUUUUAGAGAAGAAAUUUGGGAAGUCUAUUCUUUUUGGAAAAAUGUGGACAAUAUUUCUCUAUCCAACUAUACUCAUGGACGUCUUCUAAGCUUUGGUUUUUUCACUUUUAAAUUGUUGGACAGUAGGAAAUCUUUGUCAUUUUUAAGCCAAUUGUUAAUAUUAAUAUUUAUUUAUGCAGAAUUAGUAAUUCUUAGUUUUUUGGGAUUUUUUUGUUUAAUUGUAGGUGAAGCAUUUUGAUUCUUAGAACUACUGUGCUACUUUUUUUUUGUCUAUGUUGCCCUGUCGACUUAACGAUUAUUGUUGUAAAAUUUUAUUUUGAUUGUCGUUAGAGCAAUAUCACUGAUUGAUUGAUUUAUUUGGCAAGGUGUACAUGCAAACGCAUACUUCUUCUUUGCCAAAGGAGAAUUGCUUUUAUACCUAAGAUAUAUUGCGGCAAUUUUCUUCUUUCUACUAUUUCACCGUUGUCCUGUUGAUAUCUGUUAGUUGGAACUUAAUCCUGCACGUCUAGUUUUUGAAUAUUGCGAUGUUCAGUGUUGGAUAGUAGCUUUGCGUAUGAUGGACAAAGAGUGGUUGCACUUAUCAAAGUUAUCAUCUGAAAUUAGAUCUUAUAAACCUAGUUACCAAAUGAAAAUAAUUUCAAUGUAUAAUGAUGAUAAAUAUAUACUCGUAGAUUUUCAAGACCAUAUAGCGAUGGAGCACAUAAUUUUAUUGAACGAGCUCAUAAAAAAUGCAAUUCAGAAAUGAUAGUAUGUCCUUGUGUUAAGUGUAGGAAUCAAAUGCAUCAUCAUUAUGAUACAGUCUAUGAACAUUUAGAAAUGAUAGUAUGUCCUUGUGUUAAGUGUAGGAACAUUUGGUUCAAUUAAGCAUAAUUUGAUUUAUUAGUUAUAUCACUUGCUAGUAUUUGAUUUGAGUUCCAUAAGUGCAGAAAAGGAUUGAAGAUUGUGCCACAUCAAUUUUCGAUAUGCUUGCCAAAGAUUCCAUCUGUGAUGAUGCUAUCACUUGAGUUUUAGGUCCUGAACAUCAUGGGAGACUUAGGGGACUCGGAUUUGGAGUUGUACCAUCAAAGGUGGAUGGACAAAUACAAAGUAGGGGAAGAGUUAGAGAACUUGAAAGCCAAUUACAGAUUCAAGCACAAAGGGUGGGGGCAUUAGAAGAAAAAAUGGAAGCAUUUAUCAAAUUUUCUCAGCAGGCUAUAAGUAGUUAUUUUUUAUAUAUUUCAUGAUUAUAUAGCUUUAUAUAGCCAAUUACAUGAAUAAUAAUUUUGUAAUUUUUGUAUCAUUAUACAGAAUGUGGAGGAUAGAAAUUCAAAUGCUUUUACUCAGGUUUCCGUUUCCUAUAUUAUUAAAUGUUUAUUUAAUAUAUAUUCAGUUUGUAGCAUUCUAAUUUUAAAAAGAAUACUUUCUGUUUAUUAUGAAUUUGUAGUCACACCAAGGAAGUACUACCCCCAAGACAAAUGCAAGAUGUCAACUGUUACAUUGGUACAUGUUUGAGGAGGAAUAAGUCGUCGCAGAAGGGAAGAUUGCCACAACAGACCCAAGUGCAAAGGUGCAUCACUCGCCACUCGAUCGAGACUGUUGAAUGGUUUGGCUUGAGGAAGUCUAUAUGGGUAAUUUGACUUCAUACAGACCCACAGAUGAAUUUCGCACUCUUAGUGAAGCCAUGGGAAGUAGUGUUGCUUGGCCAAAGAGUAGUAUUAGACAUAUUAAUUAAGGUAUAUUUUCUAGAUUUAUAACAUAUGCGCAUUCUAUUUAUGUUUUCUUU
rnacentral:lncRNA from 1 species